rnacentral:lncRNA from 1 species
UGAACUUGGGAUCCACCUGCCUCAACCUCUCAAAGUGCUGGUAUACAGGCAUGUGCCACCUCAACCGGCUGAUGCUGUGUGUGUGUGUUAACAACUUUGCAUGGAAAAACAAGGAGGCCUUUUGUCAGAGAGCUGCCCCUUGGCACCAUAAGCCCACCUCUCCUGCAAAGCUUAGAAGCUUCCUUUCCUAGAGCAUCUCCUUGGAAGUAUAACUUGACCCUUCUGAUUAAAUGAGAGAAUACACAAAACAAAAAUAACUAAAGUGCACUGCAACGUGUCUUCAAAAUCGAGCUGUCUACCGCUGCUUCAGGACUAGAUCAUUUAUCACUAGGUCAGAGAACUGUCUUCAUUGAUGAGCCAAUCAAAUUCAAGUUCAGCAAAUAAUUUUGGAGCAAAGAUGAGCAAAACAGGAGGCCCACAGAGGGAAUUACCAAUUUACAGGAAGACCAUCAGUAAUACAUGGAAAUCAGGAC